rnacentral:rRNA from 1 species
UUUAAUUCGAUGAUACGCGAGGAACCUUACCUGGGCUUAAAUGCAUAAUGACAGACUGGGAAACCAGUCCUUCUUCGGACAGAAUGCAAGGUGCUGCAUGGUUGUCGUCAGCUCGUGCUGUGAGGUGUCGGGUUAAGUCCCAUAACGAGCGCAACCCCUAUUCUUAGUUGCCAGCGGAUAAUGCCGGGGACUCUAAGGAAACUGCCCGCGCAAGCGGUGAGGAAGGUGGGGAUGACGUCAAAUCAUCACGGCCCUUACGUCCAGGGCUACACACGUGCUACAAUGGUCGGUACAAAGGGUUGCUACCUAGCGAUAGGAUGCUAAUCUCAAAAAGCCGAUCGUAGUCCGGAUUGGAGUCUGCAACUCGACUCCAUGAAGUCGGAAUCGCUAGUAAUCGCAAAUCAGAAUGUUGCGGUGAAUACGUUCCCGGGCCUUGUACACACCG